rnacentral:snRNA from 1 species
GUGCUUGCUUCGGCAGCACAUAUACUAAAAUUGGGCUGACACGGAGAAGAUUAGCAUGGCCUCUGCGCAAAGAUGACACAUAAAAUAAAAUCAGUCAUAGCAAUUCU